GUCUACCGUCAUAUCAUCCUGAACAUACCCAAUCUCGUCUGAUCUUGGAAGCUAAGCAGGGUCAGGCCUGGUUAGUACUUGGAUGGCAGACU
ensembl:rRNA 5S_rRNA 5S ribosomal RNA